rnacentral:rRNA from 1 species
CCGGAGAACAAGCCUGAGAAACGGCUAGUAGGACUAAGGUCUGCAGCAGGCGCGAAACUUACACAAUGCUAGAUUAAAAUUAGCGAUGUAGUGAAGAAAAAUAACGAUGUACUUCCAUUUAAACAUGGUAGUACAAUUGGAAUGAGACGACUAUAAAUGAGUUAGUCGAGUAACAAAUGGAGGGCAAGUCUGGUGCCAGCAGCCGCGGUAAUUCCAGCUCCAUUAGCAUACAUUAAAGUUGUUGCGGUUAAAAAGCUCGUAGUUGAAUUUUAGGCGGGCUCUAUUGGGGUGCAAUCGUUAAGGUUCUUGGAUGUUGCUUCGCGCAUAUGCAUGUAACUGGUUGUCACCUUCCUAUAGGAACCCGCUGUUUCGUCACUUAAUCGAGUGCGAAGCGGGCUGGAACAAGCAGYGACUUCGGUCAACUGUUGUUACAGCAUGUUUACCUUGAGAAAAUUAGAGUGCUCACAGCAGGCAGUUGGGGUGUAAAAGCCUCUUUAUGCUUGAAUAAUGUUGCAUGGAAUAAUAGAAUACGGCCUCGGUUCUAUUCUGUUGGUCUUAUAGAACAACAAACAAGUUGGUUAAAGCGAUGAAAAGUCUAUACGAGUACGUGGCACCGCUGGGCUUAUGGCGUAAACUUGUUGCCUGGGGAUAAAACCUCAGUGCCAUUUUGCGUGUAUGUAGCGUAAGCGUGUCAUUAAAGCGUCUUGUAUUUCAAGGCUAGCUUUCUAAUCAACUGAGGCAAUGGUUAAAAGAAAUAGUCGCGGCGGCAUCAGUACUGCAUCGUGAGAGGUG